AUUGAACGCUGGCGCCAGUCCUAACACAUGCAAGUCGAACGGUAACAGGAAGAAGCUCGCUUCUUUGCUGACGAGUGGCGGACGGGUGAGUAAUGUCUGGGAAACUGCCUGAUGGAGGGGGAUAACUGCUGGAAACGGUAGCUAAUACCGCAUAACGUCGCAAGACCAAAGAGGGGGACCUUCGGGCCUCUUGCCAUCGGAUGUGCCCAGAUGGGAUUAGCUAGUAGGUGGGGUAACGGCUCACCUAGGCGACGAUCCCUAGCUGGUCUGAGAGGAUGACCAGCCACACUGGAACUGAGACACGGUCCAGACUCCUACGGGAGGCAGCAGUGGGGAAUAUUGCACAAUGGGCGCAAGCCUGAUGCAGCCAUGCCGCGUGUACGAAGAAGGCCUUCGGGUUGUAAAGUACUUUCAGCGGGGAGGAAGGGAGUAAAGUUAAUACCUUUGCUCAUUGACGUUACCCGCAGAAGAAGCACCGGCUAACUCCGUGCCAGCAGCCGCGGUAAUACGGAGGGUGCAAGCGUUAAUCGGAAUUACUGGGCGUAAAGCGCACGCAGGCGGUUUGUUAAGUCAGAUGUGAAAUCCCCGGGCUCAACCUGGGAACUGCAUCUGAUACUGGCAAGCUUGAGUCUCGUAGAGGGGGGUAGAAUUCCAGGUGUAGCGGUGAAAUGCGUAGAGAUCUGGAGGAAUACCGGUGGCGAAGGCGGCCCCCUGGACGAAGACUGACGCUCAGGUGCGAAAGCGUGGGGAGCANACAGG
rnacentral:rRNA from 1 species